rnacentral:rRNA from 1 species
UACGAAGGGAGCUAGCGUUGUUCGGAAUCACUGGGCGUAAAGCGCACGUAGGCGGAUGUGUCAGUCAGGGGUGAAAUCCCGGAGCUCAACUUCGGAACUGCCUUUGAUACAGCACGUCUUGAGUCCGAUAGAGGUGGGUGGAAUUCCUAGUGUAGAGGUGAAAUUCGUAGAUAUUAGGAAGAACACCGGUGGCGAAGGCGGCCCACUGGAUCGGUACUGACGCUGCGGUGCGAAAGCGUGGGGAGCAAACAGG